UACGAAGGGGGCUAGCGUUGUUCGGAUUUACUGGGCGUAAAGGGCGCGUAGGCGGGUCGUUAAGUCGGGGGUGAAAUCCUGGAGCUCAACUCCAGAACUGCCUUCGAUACUGGCGAUCUUGAGUCCGGAAGAGGUGAGUGGAACUCCUAGUGUAGAGGUGGAAUUCGUAGAUAUUAGGAAGAACACCAGUGGCGAAGGCGGCGCACUGGUCCGGUACUGACGCUGAGGUGCGAAAGCGUGGGGAGCAAACGGG
rnacentral:rRNA from 1 species